GACAGAGGGUGCAAGCGUUGCUCGGAAUCACUGGGCGUAAAGGGCGUGUAGGCGGGAAGGAAAGUCAGAGGUGAAAUCCCCAGGCUCAACCUGGGAACUGCAUUUGAAACUCCCUUUCUUGAGUACCGGAGAGGAAAGUGGAAUUCCUGGUGUAGAGGUGAAAUUCGUAGAUAUCAGGAGGAACACCAGUGGCGAAGGCGGCUUUCUGGACGGUAACUGACGCUGAGACGCGAAAGCGUGGGGAGCAAACAGG
rnacentral:rRNA from 1 species